UACGGAGGGUGCGAGCGUUACUCGGAAUCACUGGGCGUACAGGGCGCGUAGGCGGUCUAGCAAGUCUGGUGUGAAAGCCCAGUGCUCAAACCUGGAAGGGCACUGGAAACUGCUAGGCUUGAGUUCCGGAGAGGAGGGGGGAAUUCCCGGUGUAGCGGUGAAAAGCGUAGAUAUCGGGAGGAAUACCGGUUGCGAAGGCGCCCCUCUUUACGGAGACUGACGCUGAGGCGCGAAAGCGUGGGGAGCAAACAGG
rnacentral:rRNA from 1 species